rnacentral:rRNA from 1 species
UGGGGGAUAUUGCACAAUGGGCGAAAGCCUGAUGCAGCGACGCCGCGUGGGGGAUGAAGGCCUUCGGGUUGUAAACUUCUUUUGCUCUGAACAAGGCAUGCCUUUGGGGUGUGUUGAGUGUAGGGGUUGAUUAGCGCCGGCUAACUACGUGCCAGCAGCCGCGGUAAUACGUAGGGCGCGAGCGUUGUCCGGAAUUAUUGGGCGUACAGGGCUUGUAGGUGGCUGGUUGCGUCUGUCGUGAAAGCUCAUGGCUUAACUGUGGGUUUGCGGGGGGUACGGGCUGGCUUGAGUGCAGUAGGGGAGGCUGGGAUUCCUGGAGUAGCGGUGGAAUGCGCAGAUAUCAGGAGGAAUACCGGUGGCGAAGGCGGGUCGCUGGGCUGUUACUGACACUGAGGAGCGAAAGCGUGAGGAGCGAACAGG